rnacentral:autocatalytically_spliced_intron from 1 species
GGAAGCUGUGUGCGUGAGAAUCGCAUGCACAGUUUGAUGAAGGGGAAGGUGAGAAACAAACUUUCCCACCAAUCUACUCUAC